GGAGAAGCCGGAGACUCCAGUGGAGAGCCCUGAGCAGGAGCCUCCAAGCUUCUGUAAGAUCAUGUACAUCCCUGGAGACAGGAACGAGCUUCUAACCAGCACAGACGAAGAGACCUACCUACCAGACGAGCCCCUGGUGCUAAUGGCGGGGACUUCCUGGCAUGACCUGCACAGCCGCCAGCUGGGCUCACGGCUGGGUGAGGGCGGCUACACCAACUGCUACCCUCCUCCCCAGUAUGAAGGAGCAGACUCACUGUCACAAG